rnacentral:rRNA from 1 species
CCUACGGGAGGCAGCAGUGGGGAAUAUUGCUCAAUGGGCGCAAGCCUGACGCAGCCACGCCGCGUGAAGGAUGACGGUCUUCGGAUUGUAAACCUCUUUUUAUAGAGAAGAUAAGUACGGUAUCUAACCAUUAUUCAAUGGAGAUUACCGUUCAAGCAGGCGCGGUAAUACGGAGGGUGCCAGCGUUACUCGGAAGAGCUGGGCGUAAGGGGCGCGUAGGCGGGUUAGCAAGUCAGUUGUGAAGUCCUAUGGCUUAACCAUAGAACUGCAUUUGAAACUGUGAGUCUAGAGUAUGGGAGAGGUAGGUGGAAGUCGUGGUGUAGGGGUAAAAUCCGUAGAUAUCAAGAGGAACACCCAUUGCGAAGGCGACUUGCUAGAACAUAACUGACGCUGAUGCGCGAAAGCGUGGGGAGCAAACAGGAUUAGAUACCCCUGUAGUC